CCUUGAUCUGGGUGAGACACAUAUCCAAAAAUCACCCAGAUCGGACCAGGGGUUUGGGAAAUUCCUGGAGGUACUAAAAAGACCGACCGCGCUGGGGUUAACAGCCGAAAAGGGUUCCAUGUAUUUUGGCCCUGCGGUCGGUCACAGAAAACGGAAGGAAACACACGAAUGGCUUGGGUUAUGAGAGCUGGGGAGGAUCUCCUUGUUCGUGAACAAUCCCCUUGUUCGUGGGGUUCUUUCUACCGAACGGGAAGCUGUUCGGUAGUUUUUACACAAAUUGGCGGCAGUGUGGAGGUCUCAGCGGCGUU